CACAGGCGGCGUGCUAUACAUGCAGUCGAGCGAACAGACGAGGAGCUUGCUCCUCUGACGUUAGCGGCGGACGGGUGAGUAACACGUGGAUAACCUACCUAUAAGACUGGGAUAACUUCGGGAAACCGGAGCUAAUACCGGAUAAUAUAUUGAACCGCAUGGUUCAAUAGUGAAAGACGGUUUUGCUGUCACUUAUAGAUGGAUCCGCGCCGCAUUAGCUAGUUGGUAAGGUAACGGCUUACCAAGGCAACGAUGCGUAGCCGACCUGAGAGGGUGAUCGGCCACACUGGAACUGAGACACGGUCCAGACUCCUACGGGAGGCAGCAGUAGGGAAUCUUCCGCAAUGGGCGAAAGCCUGACGGAGCAACGCCGCGUGAGUGAUGAAGGUCUUCGGAUCGUAAAACUCUGUUAUUAGGGAAGAACAAAUGUGUAAGUAACUAUGCACGUCUUGACGGUACCUAAUCAGAAAGCCACGGCUAACUACGUGCCAGCAGCCGCGGUAAUACGUAGGUGGCAAGCGUUAUCCGGAAUUAUUGGGCGUAAAGCGCGCGUAGGCGGUUUUUUAAGUCUGAUGUGAAAGCCCACGGCUCAACCGUGGAGGGUCAUUGGAAACUGGAAAACUUGAGUGCAGAAGAGGAAAGUGGAAUUCCAUGUGUAGCGGUGAAAUGCGCAGAGAUAUGGAGGAACACCAGUGGCGAAGGCGACUUUCUGGUCUGUAACUGACGCUGAUGUGCGAAAGCGUGGGGAUCAAACAGGAUUAGAUACCCUGGUAGUCCACGCCGUAAACGAUGAGUGCUAAGUGUUAGGGGGUUUCCGCCCCUUAGUGCUGCAGCUAACGCAUUAAGCACUCCGCCUGGGGAGUACGACCGCAAGGUUGAAACUCAAAGGAAUUGACGGGGACCCGCACAAGCGGUGGAGCAUGUGGUUUAAUUCGAAGCAACGCGAAGAACCUUACCAAAUCUUGACAUCCUCUGACCCCUCUAGAGAUAGAGUUUUCCCCUUCGGGGGACAGAGUGACAGGUGGUGCAUGGUUGUCGUCAGCUCGUGUCGUGAGAUGUUGGGUUAAGUCCCGCAACGAGCGCAACCCUUAAGCUUAGUUGCCAUCAUUAAGUUGGGCACUCUAAGUUGACUGCCGGUGACAAACCGGAAGAAAGGUGGGGAUGACGUCAAAUCAUCAUGCCCCUUAUGAUUUGGGCUAC
rnacentral:rRNA from 1 species